UAAAAUUUCAUGCCUGGGGAUGAAUCCCCAUCUUCCACCCCCUAGUUCCGCCCUUGUUUACAAUUAUGCAAGGGGUGGUCGAUGGCAAUAAUCGGAACAACUCAAAUAAUUUUUGUCAGUAUGCCAACGCGGACCCGGAAUCUCAUCGAUCAAAUAAUCGGAGAUAUUCAAUGGUGUUGUCGUCGUCGCCGUAACCAUGUUGCUGCAGUGGUCGUAGCAAAGAUCAUUUUACGAGUCGUUUUCGUCGCAGUAAUGAUGGUGUUCGCGGUCACAGUAAUCGUCGCUGUCGUCAUCGUCAAUCUGGUCAUCUCCUACGCUGAUGUCGGCACUGUUAGGAGCUGUCGUUGUCGCCGGAGUCGUAAAACUGGUCUUCUCUCUUCAAUACUUCUAACUGGAUUGAUGAUAUUGGUUUGAUUGAAAAAAAUUGUGUAUUGAAAAGGUGUUUGGGGCCUGUUCUUUGUACUCGUUGAUGUCCCGUAGAUAAUCCAAACGAAAAUUUGUGCACUUGUUUGUUUUGACAAUGUAAAAUAGCAUCUUCCGACUAUGUUUUGUUAUCAGUUGGUACCAUUUUAAUUUGUUGUUUUUAUGGUCGCGUAAAAUAAUAUCCCCCGCAUGUAGUUACAACAUGUAGUGAUACAACCGGUGCUAUUUUACAUGGCCAUUUUGCUUUAUAUGGAAGCCCUGUAAAGGGCCGUUUUCCAACGGAAGUAUUCCGUUACAACUAGGCUGAUAUGUCAGUUGAUGUCAGUGAGGUACGCAGAAUUUUACAAUGGUAGGAGGGAGGCUUGAAAAUAAAUAAUUACUCAGUUGUAACAGGCAAAUUGGCUUAAAAAGUAGUUGCUUUUUUUAUUUUUUAUAAAAUUAAUUAUUAAUAAUUAUAAUUCUAUGGAAAGUAUUUUUUGGUUUAUUCCCGACUAUUUUUUAAGUUGUGUUAAAUUGCAUUAGUUUUUAUAUUUAAUUUCAGUAUAACGUGGAUUUUUUUUUUUUUUUUGUAUCAACAUAAACCAAGGAUUCUUCGGGAGCCAAUACUUGGAUUUUUUAUCGUUUCAACCUGAAGGAGAUGUCCUUCGAGAGCCGGAACCUGGAUUUUUUUUUUUUUGGAUCAACCCAAAUCAAUUUUCCUCCGGGAGCCGGGGAUCCCCUUUUCAUUUCUACUUCUGAACUUAACACUUUGAAUAUUUGAUGAACUUGGAUUUUUUAUCGUUUCAACCUAAAGGAGAUGUCCUUCGAGAGCCGAGUAACCACUUAGUAUCAGAAUGGGGUAUUGAAAAAAAUAAUGUAGUGGCUGUAACAACAAAUAGUGGGGCUUACAUAAAAAA